CCCAGUUCGGAUUGCAGGCUGCAACCCGCCUGCAUGAAGUUGGAAUCGCUAGUAAUCGCGGAUCAGCAUGCCGCGGUGAAUACGUUCCCGGGCCUUGUACACACCGCCCGUCACACCAUGAGAGUCGGGGACACCCGAAGUCCGUAGUCUAACCGCAAGGGGACGCGGCCGAAGGUGGAUUCGAUAAUUGGGGUGAAGUCGUAACAAGGUACC
rnacentral:rRNA from 1 species